CGAGCACGCGCGUGUGGCAUAUCAAUAAGCGGAGGAAAAGAAACUAACAAGGAUUCCCUUAGUAACGGCGAGUGAAGCGGGAAGAGCUCAAAUUUGAAAUCUUCAAGGUUCUACCUUGACGAAUUGUAGUUUAUAGAAGUGUUUUCUGUUAGUGGAGUGGCAAAAGUUCUUUGGAAUAGGACAUCAUAGAGGGUGAGAAUCCCGUAUUUGGUCAUUCCUCCUAGCGUUGUGAUACACUUUCAACGAGUCGGAUUGUUUGGGAAUGCAGUCCAAAAUGGGUGGUAAAUUUCAUCUAAAGCUAAAUAUUGGCGAGAGACCGAUAGCGAACAAGUACCGUGAGGGAAAGAUGAAAAGAACUUUGAAAAGAGAGUUAAACAGUACGUGAAAUUGUCAAAAGGGAAGCGUUUGACACCAGUGUUGUUUUUCCGAAAAUCAAUUACGAAUGUUUUGUUUUUAAGGAGUUAUGACUUCAUCGGCUUGCUUCUUUCUUUACGAAACUUUCUUAAUGCACUUUUCGGUUAACAAGUCAACAUCAAUUUCUUUUGUUGUAAAAGGGUAUGAGGAAGGUGGCUUUCUUUUCGGAGAAAGUGUUUAUAGCCUUGUAGCCUCUGCAAUCGGAGAGAUUGAGGUCUGCAGCGUAGAUCCUUCGGGGUUAGAUACAGUUUGUGCUAAGUUAUAGCUUUUCAUAGACAACUUGUUGACUAUGUUUAGUCUUGUAGCUUACUCGCUGAUGCUAUUUUACCUACGCUUAGGAUGUUGAUGUGAUACUGCGAGCA
rnacentral:rRNA from 1 species